rnacentral:tRNA from 1 species
GGACUUGUAGCAUAGCGGCGAAUGCACCCGGCUGUCUACCGGAAGAGCGAGGGUUCGAAUCCCUUCAAGUCCG